rnacentral:rRNA from 1 species
GACGAACGCUGGCGGCGUGCUUAACACAUGCAAGUCGAACGGAAAGGCCCUGCUUUUGUGGGGUGCUCGAGUGGCGAACGGGUGAGUAACACGUGAGUAACCUGCCCUUGACUUUGGGAUAACUUCAGGAAACUGGGGCUAAUACCGGAUAGGAGCUCCUGCUGCAUGGUGGGGGUUGGAAAGUUUCGGCGGUUGGGGAUGGACUAGCGGCUUAUCAGCUUGUUGGUGGGGUAGUGGCUUACCAAGGCUUUGCCGGGUAGCCGGCCUGAGAGGGGGACCGGCCACAUUGGGACUGAGGUACGGCCCAGACGCCUACGGGAGGCAGCAGUGGGCAAUAUUGCACAAUGGGCGGAAGCCUGAUGCAGCAACGCCGCGUGCGGGAUGACGGCCUUCGGGUUGUAAACCGCUUUCGCCUGUGACGAAGCGUGAGUGACGGUAAUGGGUAAAGAAGCACCGGCUAACUACGUG